GCGCUUGUAGCUCAGCUGGAUAGAGCGUCCCCCUCCGGAGGGGAAGGCCGGGGGUUCGACUCCUCUCAAGCGCGCCA
rnacentral:tRNA from 1 species